rfam:Schistosoma haematobium scaffold745_8, whole genome shotgun sequence.
AUCCAGCUGACGAGUCCCAAAUUGGACGAAGUGCGCGUCCUAGAU